UACGUAGGGUGCAAGCGUUGUCCGGAAUUAUUGGGCGUAAAGAGCUCGUAGGCGGUUUGUCGCGUCUGCCGUGAAAGUCCGGGGCUCAACUCCGGAUCUGCGGUGGGUACGGGCAGACUAGAGUGAUGUAGGGGAGACUGGAAUUCCUGGUGUAGCGGUGAAAUGCGCAGAUAUCAGGAAGAACACCCGUGGCGAAGGCGGCUCUCUGGGACGGUACUGACGCUGAGACGCGAAAGCGUGGGGAGCGAACAGG
rnacentral:rRNA from 1 species